rnacentral:rRNA from 1 species
UACACUCCUGCGGGAGGCAGCAGUAGGGAAUCUUCCACAAUGGGUGCAAACCUGAUGGAGCAAUGCCGCGUGAGUGAAGAAGGUCUUCGGAUCGUAAAGCUCUGUUGUUAGAGAAGAACACGUGCUAGGUAACUACUAGCGCCUUGACGGUAUCUAACCAGAAAGUCACGGCUAACUACGUGCCAGCAGCCGCGGUAAUACGUAGGUGACAAGCGUUGUCCGGAUUUAUUGGGCGUAAAGGGAGCGCAGGCGGUCUGUUUAGUCUAAUGUGAAAGCCCACGGCUUAACCGUGGAACGGCAUUGGAAACUGACAGACUUGAAUGUAGAAGAGGAAAAUGGAAUUCCAAGUGUAGCGGUGGAAUGCGUAGAUAUUUGGAGGAACACCAGUGGCGAAGGCGAUUUUCUGGUCUAACAUUGACGCUGAGGCUCGAAAGCGUGGGGAGCGAACAGGAUUAGAUACCCUUGUAGUCCC